rnacentral:lncRNA from 1 species
GUGAUGGCCCAAGAUAGUAGCAGCCCAAGGGCAAAUGUAUUUAAGCUGUGUAAAUGACUUUGUAUAGAGUACAGGGACACAAAUGUAAUUACACACACACACAUUACAUUUUAUUAUUACAAUUUUGUAUAUACACGGCGAAGCUUCGAGAGGAGAUCAGAUCAAUCAAUUACAACUUUUUCAUUUCUCACUUUUUCUCUCUUCUCUUUCCUCUCUACUGUUCAUCAUCUUCUCCACUUCUUUUCUUCAAUCCGAUGAGUUAAACUGUUAACAUGGUAUCAGAGCGGGUAUAUUCCGGAUCUACUCAUCACGAGCUUUCGACCGAUGUUACCCUCACCGGCUUUCAUUCAAGUUUCUGUUGAUUCACAAAAUUAGGGUUUUCGAUUCGGUUAGUUUUUCGUCAAAAUUGCUUGUAUUUUUUGUUGUUAAAAUUGUUGCAUGUUGUGUAAACAUCAGAGGCUGUAAUUUUUGUUUGUUUCUGGUUGGUUUCUGGUCGAUUCAUGUGUUAGCCAUCUGGUAUAGUUACGAUCUAUUGUUUGUUUGUGGUUAAAUGACAUAAGCAGUUAAAAAUGGUGGAUGUAGUAGAUGAUUCUCCUUCUGUUCCUACUAGCUUUGUCCCUAGUCCCUCGAAUCCCCUAUUUCUCAUGUCGUCUGAUGUUCCUGGUAUUUCCUUGGUUACCAAUCCUUUCUCAGGGGUUGGUUUUGGGGGUUGGAGAAGAAAUGUGAUAGAUUACCAAUCCUUUCUCAGGAGUUGGUUUUGGGGGUUGAAGAAGAA